rnacentral:rRNA from 1 species
AGGGUUUGAUCCUGGCUCAGGAUGAACGCUGGCGGCGUGCUUAACACAUGCAAGUCGAACGAAGAAAUUUUAAAUGAGAGCUUCGGCAGGAUUUUAAUUUUUCUUAGUGGCGGACGGGUGAGUAACGUGUGGGCAACCUGCCUCAUACUGUGGAAUAAUCAUUGGAAACGAUGACUAAUACCGCAUGUCGUCACCGGAGGGCAUCCUCUGGUGAGAAAAGGAUUUAUUCGGUAUGAGAUGGGCCCGCAUCUGAUUAGCUAGUUGGUGAGAUAAUAGCCCACCAAGGCGACGAUCAGUAGCCGACCUGAGAGGGUAAUCGGCCACAUUGGGACUGAGACACGGCCCAA